AGCUCAUCAAACAGACUUUUCUCUAAAACCUGGGAUGGGAGUCAAAGGACCCACAUAGGGUAUGUUCUGGAGAAGGACCCAGAGCAGGUAGAGGAAAUGUCUUCCUGCCCUACAAAACUGAACAUACAGAAGCUUUAUGAAUGGAACAAAACAGUCCAAGUUGGCAUCCUGGCUCUGCCACCCACCAGGCGUGUGUGGUCAUUGAGGAUGAUGAUGGAGAACCUUGAGUCAGCAUGUCUCCUGUGACAGGUGGUGUUCAGGGCACGUACAUGUGUUAACUCACUGGAUCUUCACAAGAAAGACAGUUGACUAACUGUUAUCACAUCCCUUUUACAGAUGACAAAACAGAGGUUUAGUGAGAUUAAGUAACUUGCCCAAAGUCAUGCAGCUGGUCAUUAGCGGAGCUGGGACACCAACUUUGGAGGUCCAUGUGACCACUACGUCUAUGUUCUGAGCCGCUAAGAACUUCCUAAGUCACUGACCUUCUUGGAGUCCCAGUUUCCUCAUUUGUAAAACACUCGUAAAAACACCUCUGGUGGAGGGUAGGGAGGAGUCAUGUGGUAAUGCAAGUGAAGCAUCUGCCCAUGUGUGGACAAAGUGGGCGUUCGUAGUUCCUGAUCUUCUCCCAGCCUCAUCCCGAUACACUUGUUUUCAGCUUUACAGAUGUCGUUGAAGGUGAAACUAGGAAGUGCUUAACUCAGAGGAGAGUCUAUAGCUGAAUGCAGAAAAGAAAUGUCAUAGAAGAUGCAGAGCCACAUGAGCAAAGGAGCCUGGGUCCCUGAAUAAUUGGACAGUCUCCACCAUGACCCACAUUGGCUGUAACGGGAGUGAAAAUUAAAACUUCAUUGACUUCACCACUGA
rnacentral:lncRNA from 1 species